AUUGAACGCUGGCGGCAUGCCUUACACAUGCAAGUCGAACGGUAACAGGUCUUCGGAUGCUGACGAGUGGCGAACGGGUGAGUAAUACAUCGGAACGUGCCCGAUCGUGGGGGAUAACGGAGCGAAAGCUUUGCUAAUACCGCAUACGAUCUACGGAUGAAAGCAGGGGACCGCAAGGCCUUGCGCGGACGGAGCGGCCGAUGGCAGAUUAGGUAGUUGGUGGGAUAAAAGCUUACCAAGCCGACGAUCUGUAGCUGGUCUGAGAGGACGACCAGCCACACUGGGACUGAGACACGGCCCAGACUCCUACGGGAGGCAGCAGUGGGGAAUUUUGGACAAUGGGCGAAAGCCUGAUCCAGCCAUGCCGCGUGCAGGAUGAAGGCCUUCGGGUUGUAAACUGCUUUUGUACGGAACGAAAAGACUCUUUCUAAUAAAGAGGGUCCAUGACGGUACCGUAAGAAUAAGCACCGACUAACUACGUGCCAGCAGCCGCCGCAGUAA
rnacentral:rRNA from 1 species